ensembl:ncRNA F53H2.4 ncRNA
AAAACCUCAUAGAUCUGAAUCCUAGGAUAUUACUGUAGCAAAAGUAGACUCCGCCCACUUUUUCACAUAUUUUUUUUUGAAAAUUUUUUGAAUUCAACAUUCCCGUAGUCAGUAUCGCAAUUUUUUUUUCGAUUUUUUUCUUGUCCCCCUGUAAUUUGUAGACCCUAAUUUUCGCGUCACUGGCACUGUGCCAAAAUAUUCAUAUUACUGUAGUUUUUUGGUCCCUCAACACAAGUUUUCGUGUUUUCCACACACACAUCCGCCCACACACAAUUGAUACGUAGUCCGAGAAGCUUCAUAUUUCACUUUGCCCCUCUUUUUUUUUUGUCUGAAAAUAUUUUAUUUUUUGAGAUUUUCAGACGCAAAACUUUCAUUUAAAUGAACUAUUCUAGAAGAAUUUGU